rnacentral:rRNA from 1 species
CCUGUCGGUGCCGAAGCCAACGGCGUUAAGCCCUCCGCCUGGGGACUACGAACGCAAGUUUAAAACUCAAAGGAAUAGACGGGGGCCCGCACAAGCAGCGGAGCGUGUGGUUCAAUUCGAUGUAACACGAAGAACCUUACCAGGGCUUGACAUGUAUGUGGUAGGAAAGUGAAAGCGGACCGACCCGCAAGGGAGCGUACACAGGUGCUGCAUGGCCGUCGUCAGCUCGUGCCGUGAGGUGUUGGGUUAAGUCCCGCAACGAGCGCAACCCCUUUCGCUAGUUACAUGUGUCUAGCGAUACUGCCGGAUUAACUCCGGAGGAAGGCGGGGAUGACGUCAAGUCAGCAUGGCCUUUAUGUCCUGGGCUACACACACGCUACAAUGGGUGCUACAGAGCGUUGCCAAGCCGCGAGGCGGAGCUAAUCGCACAAAAGCAUCCUCAGUUCAGAUUGCAGGCUGCAACCCGCCUGCAUGAAGUCGGAGUUGCUAGUAAACGCGCGUCAGCUAUAGUGCGUUGAAUGCGUUCCCGGGCCUUAUACUCACCGCCCGUCACGUGAUGGAAGCCGGUAACACUUGAAGUCGGUGACUGAACCGCAAGGACAGAGCCGCCGAGGGUGGGACUGGUAACUGGCACG